GACGAACGCUGGCGGCGUGCUUAACACAUGCAAGUCGAACGGAAAGGCCCUGCUUUUGUGGGGUGCUCGAGUGGCGAACGUGUGAGUAACACGUGAGUAACCUGCCCUUGACUUUGGGAUAACUUCAGGAAACUGGGGCUAAUACCGGAUAGGAGCUCCUGCUGCAUGGUGGGGGUUGGAAAGUUUCGGCGGUUGGGGAUGGACUCGCGGCUUAUCAGCUUGUUGGUAGGGUAGUGGCUUACCAAGGCUUUGACGGGUAGCCGGCCUGAGAGGGUGACCGGCCACAUUGGGACUGAGAUACGGCCCAGACUCCUACGGGAGGCAGCAGUGGGGAAUAUUGCACAAUGGGCGGAAGCCUGAUGCAGCAACGCCGCGUGCGGGAUGACGGCCUUCGGGUUGUAAACCGCUUUCGCCUGUGACGAAGCGUGAGUGACGGUAAUGGGUAAAGAAGCACCGGCUAACUACGUG
rnacentral:rRNA from 1 species